UACAGAGGUCUCAAGCGUUGUUCGGAUUCAUUGGGCGUAAAGGGUGCGUAGGCGGCCAACUAAGUCAGACGUGAAAUCCCUCGGCUUAACCGGGGAACUGCGUCUGAUACUGGAUGGCUUGAGUUUGGGAGAGGGAUGCGGAAUUCCAGGUGUAGCGGUGAAAUGCGGAGAUAUCUGGAGGAACACCGGUGGCGAAGGCGGCAUCCUGGAACAACAAUGACGCUGAGUGAGCGAAAGCCAGGGGAGCAAACGGG
rnacentral:rRNA from 1 species